AGUGAACGCUGGCGGUAGGCCUAACACAUGCAAGUCGAACGGCAGCACAGUAAGAGCUUGCUCUUACGGGUGGCGAGUGGCGGACGGGUGAGGAAUACAUCGGAAUCUACUUUUUCGUGGGGGAUAACGUAGGGAAACUUACGCUAAUACCGCAUACGACCUACGGGUGAAAGCAGGGGAUCUUCGGACCUUGCGCGAUUGAAUGAGCCGAUGUCGGAUUAGCUAGUUGGCGGGGUAAAGGCCCACCAAGGCGACGAUCCGUAGCUGGUCUGAGAGGAUGAUCACCCACACUGGAACUGAGACACGGUCCAGACUCCUACGGGAGGCAGCAGUGGGGAAUAUUGGACAAUGGGCGCAAGCCUGAUCCAGCCAUACCGCGUGGGUUAAGAAGGCCUUCGGGUUGUAAAGCCCUUUUGUUGGGAAAGAAAAGCAGCAGGUUAAUACCCCGCUGUUCUGACGGUACCCAAAGAAUAAGCACCGGCUAACUUCGUG
rnacentral:rRNA from 1 species